rnacentral:rRNA from 1 species
UACGUAGGGGGCAAGCGUUGUCCGGAAUCAUUGGGCGUAAAGAGCGUGUAGGCGGCCCGGUAAGUCCGCUGUGAAAGUCCAGGGCUCAACCCUGGGAUGCCGGUGGAUACUGUCGGGCUCGAGUCCGGAAGAGGAGUGUGGAAUUCCUGGUGUAGCGGUGAAAUGCGCAGAUAUCAGGAGGAACACCCGUGGCGAAGGCGGCUCUCGUGGGACGGUACUGACGCUGAGACGCGAAAGCGU